AGUGAGGAAUAUUGCACAAUGGAGGAAACUCUGAUGCAGCAACGCCGCGUGGAGGAUGACGCAUUUCGGUGUGUAAACUCCUUUUAUAAGGGAAGAAAAUGACGGUACCUUAUGAAUAAGCACCGGCUAACUCCGUGCCAGCAGCCGCGGUAAUACGGAGGGUGCAAGCGUUAUUCGGAAUCACUGGGCGUAAAGGACGCGUAGGCGGAUUGCCAAGUCUGAUGUGAAAUCCUAUGGCUCAACCAUAGAACUGCAUUGGAAACUGGUAAUCUAGAGUAUGGGAGGGGGAGAUGGAAUUAGUGGUGUAGGGGUAAAAUCCGUAGAUAUCACUAGGAAUACCGAAAGCGAAGGCGAUCUCCUGGAACAUUACUGACGCUAAGGCGUGAAAGCGUGGGGAGCAAACGGGAUUAGAUACCCCGGUAGUCCACGCCCUAAACGAUGUUCACUAGUCGUCGGGAUGCUAGUCAUCUCGGUGAUGCACUUAACAGAUUAAGUGAACCGCCUGGGGAGUACGGUCGCAAGAUUAAAACUCAAAGGAAUAGACGGGGACCCGCACAAGUGGUGGAGCAUGUGGUUUAAUUCGAAGAUACGCGAAGAACCUUACCUAGCCUUGACAUUGAAGAAACACACUAGAGAUAGAGUGGUGCCCUUCGGGGAAUCUGAAAACAGGUGCUGCACGGCUGUCGUCAGCUCGUGUCGUGAGAUGUUGGGUUAAGUCCCGCAACGAGCGCAACCCUCGUCCUUAGUUGCCAGCAGGUUAAGCUGGGCACUCUAAGGAGACUGCCUUCGUAAGGAGGAGGAAGGUGAGGACGACGUCAAGUCAUCAUGGCCCUUAUGGCUAGGGCUACACACGUGCUACAAUGGGGCGUACAGAGUGUUGCGAUACCGUGAGGUGGAGCCAAUCACUUAAAGCGUCUCUCAGUUCGGAUUGAAGUCUGCAACUCGACUUCAUGAAGCUGGAAUCACUAGUAAUCGUAGAUCAGCAAUGCUACGGUGAAUACGU
rnacentral:rRNA from 1 species